GCACUGGUAGUUCAGAGGUAGAAUUCUCGCCUGCCACGCGAGAGGCCCGGGUUCGCUUCCCGGCUAGUGCA
rnacentral:tRNA from 1 species